rnacentral:rRNA from 1 species
GAAAGGAGUGCUAAUACCGGAUGUGAUCAUCGUGCCGCAUGGCAGGAUGAAGAAAGAUGGCCUCUACAAGUAAGCUAUCGCUAAAGGAUGGGCCUGCGUCUGAUUAGCUAGUUGGUAGUGUAACGGACUACCAAGGCGAUGAUCAGUAGCCGGUCUGAGAGGAUGAACGGCCACAUUGGGACUGAGACACGGCCCAAACUCCUACGGGAGGCAGCAGUGGGGAAUCUUCCGCAAUGGACGAAAGUCUGACGGAGCAACGCCGCGUGAGUGAUGAAGGAUUUCGGUCUGUAAAGCUCUGUUGUUUAUGACGAACGUGCAGUGUGUGAACAAUGCAUUGCAAUGACGGUAGUAAACGAGGAAGCCACGGCUAACUACGUGCCAGCAGCCGCGGUAAUACGUAGGUGGCGAGCGUUGUCCGGAAUUAUUGGGCGUAAAGAGCAUGUAGGCGGCUUAAUAAGUCGAGCGUGAAAAUGCGGGGCUCAACCCCGUAUGGCGCUGGAAACUGUUAGGCUUGAGUGCAGGAGAGGAAAGGGGAAUUCCCAGUGUAGCGGUGAAAUGCGUAGAUAUUGGGAGGAACACCAGUGGCGAAGGCGCCUUUCUGGACUGUGUCUGACGCUGAGAUGCGAAAGCCAGGGUAGCGAACGGGAUUAGAUACCCCGGUAGUCCUGGCCGUAAACGAUGGGUACUAGGUGUAGGAGGUAUCGACCCCUUCUGUG